GGAUUUGAGGAUGAUCUGGCUGUGGCAUCUGUCAUCUUACAGAUUGCCAGGGUUGAUUUGGCUGGUAGGACCAGCGCAGCAGCUGUCUCCUUCUUCCCUCAUGACUUC
ensembl:misc_RNA 7SK 7SK RNA